CCCGCGGUAUAAAGGGCCGGCGGGGCGGGUGUGGUCGGUUGUGUGUGAGGGCUGCGGGCGCGGCCCCGCUGCUGCCCGGGCUGCGGAGGGGAGAGCGCCUUGGCCGCUGGCCUGGCUCGUGGUUUCCCCUGGUGCUGGGGAGUGGAGGCGAGUUGUGCUUCCUGCUGGGAGAGAGAAGGGCCUUGGGAAGCUGCUCCAUGAGCCACAGCUGUGCCGAGCCUGGGAGUCUGUCCAGCAGGAUGUCGAGUGCCACCAUGUCCCCAAGGUCAACCUUUCUGCUGUUGGGAGAGCAUGAGGUGGAUGGAGAGGAUCCCCAGCCAUCUGCAGGCAAAAGGGACUGGCACAACUGCGAUUUUUCUCCAGCUCUCUUAAGGUGGACUUUCAGGGUACCGUGGGUAAUGUGCCAGCUCUCCUGCUGGCGUUUUUGUCUUCUGCUCUAUUUGAACAUCAAGAGUAAAACUAAAGUCAGGUGUGUUCUGGAGUAUGUUACACUCGGGCAAAGCUCCUUCCCUCUGUUUAUUUUCUGUUCUGGAAAGCACAGUCUGGGGUUCCUGGGCACUUCCUCUUAAAUGAUUCCAUGAAAAUAAUUUUGUACUGAAAGGAGAAAGGAGCUGUCUGUUUGAGAUCAGAUGUCACUGAUAAAAGCUUGAUGUUUUUUCACUCAGUAAGCUUUUAAAAUAUCUCAUAGUGUGUAGCAAUGCCUGGCUUCUAAAACUCACCAAUUGAGUCUUAAAAGUUUCUUUGAAGAGCUGAGUUCAGGCAGCAGAAUUGGCCCUGCAGGAGGGACUCUGUGCCUGCUCUCCCGUGGCUCCAAGGGAUCUCUGGGCCUUCACGCCGGCACCGAGAUUUUCUUGGGAAGGGCCUCAGAUCCCCGGACCAGUCUGGGACACAGGCAAGAUCCCCCUGCAUUUAUAAAUGAGGCCUUCUUGUGGCUUCCUACCCGUACCUGUUGGUGGGUUCCAAAGAAGGACUCUUGAAAUGCCUUUUGGGCUGUCCAUUGAAACCUUGGGACCAAAUUGGGCCCCCCUGGAGGGACAGUGCUGUUGGUGCCCCCCGGGUUGGGGCACCCCGAGGACUCCAGCGCGCACCGAAAGGAUUAUUCGGGGAGAUCCACGGGGUGCCCAGCCCUGGGGAGUUCAAAGCAAGCUCCCUGCAAUGGAUUCAGGCAUUGCUGAGAGUAUCCCAGGUAUAGCUGUCCAUGCUAGAGAUGGAGCUCUCUAAUGGACUGUAAUUGGGUUCUAAAAGUGGUGCUCCAAGUGCAAAGGAAGUGUGGGAUUGGGAUUAAGAAACGAGCAGUGAUGGUACAAUUGGCUGUUUUCUCUUGAAUGUAAUGGUAAGAGCUACAGGAGUGCAAGGUGUGUGUUCCAGUCCCCAGCAUUUGGUUUGCAUGUGUCCUGGUCAGACACAGGUCCAACUUCCUCAGUCCUUAACCCAGUCGAGGGAGAAUUAAGGACUGGCAGUGUUAAGGUGAUUGGUGUGACAGGGGUUAAACUGGGAAAACAUUGGGGAAUUCUUCAGUUUGUCUCUUUGCCAAACUCAGCCAAACCUGUGCUAGGAAGAGAUUGAGUGGAAAAGUUGAGGCAGAAAUGAAAUUGAAAACUGGGGAUAUUGAAACAGUAAUUGCUGGAACUAAAUGUGUCAAAGCAGCAGCUCUUGUUGUGCAGGGAAUAACUCCUGUCAGCAGCAAGGUCCCAAGUGAAGUGGCAGCUGCAGUUGUUCCUGUGGUGUGGGCCAGUGGACUUGCAGGAGAGUGGAAGAGGGCAGAACCUGUAGGUAUUACCCCUAAUGUGGGAUCUAUAUGGGUAAGGCAAAGCCAGUAUCCUUUAAAAUCAGAAUGCCAGCUUGGAUUGGUUGCAGUAACAGCUAAAUUGGCUCAUCCUGGUUUGCUUGUGGGACGUGAAUGCAAGAACCUGCGGAGAAAAGCAAUGACCAAGAUGAUUGAUUAGUGCAGGACCUGAGAGAACCACCUUGAAUGACAAUCUCAAGGAGUUUGCAGUAUUGCAUUUAAAAGAUGGCCUUUGCUGCAUCUUCUUGAGCAAGGAAAGCCAAGAAAGCUUUGCCUUUGAAGAAGAAAAUCUGGAAAGGGGAAAGGAAGAAGAGAAGCCACUUGACUCCUCCUGAGCCCCAGACAGCCCAUGAACUGCCUUCCUGGGAAUGGUAGGAUGGGGUGGACUCUGGAUUGCUCCCUCUGGAUGUGUGGAACUCCAGGAACUCCUGGUACCGCCUGGGCCGAUGGAUUGGACGCUCCAGCCCCUCUGUUCCUGCCCAGCCCCUGGGUCUGUGUCAAGGGGUGGCACUGCCAGCCCCUGCAGUAGGAUGUAGCCUGGAAACUGCACAGAGCUGAGCCAAGGGAUUUAAAGGGACUAACCAAGGGAGGCGAAGAAAGAAGGAAGAAGGGAAGUGAGGCAGCAGCCAAGCAGCACCAAGUGCCUGUGUAAGCAGGUGAGUUGUCUUGAGGUUCUUAAGGCAGGCACUGAGGACUUUGAGGGCUCCAGACAGAGCAGACCUGCGAAGGGCCUCGGUGAAGCCCCUUGGAAACCUUCUAAGGGUAGGUGUGUAUGGUAACGAGUGUUGGAAUAUGUCCUGAGUAGGGAUUAGAAAUGCAGGGAAGGAAAAUGAACCCUCCUGUAAUGCUGCCAUAUCAGCUGCAGUGGAUAGCUCUGUGUGCCCUUUGGGAGCUGAUUGCCAGGACUCCCGGUGGGCUGGGAUCAUGGCAGGGUGUUGUAAGCAAGGAAUGCCUGGCUUCUAAACCUCACCAGCUGAAUCUUAGAGGCUUCUUUGAAGAGCUGAGUUCAGGCAACAGAAUUGGCCCUGCAGGAGGGACUCUGUGCCUGCUCUCCCGUGGCUCCAAGGGAUCUCUGGGCCUUCACGCCAGCACCGAGAUUUUUCUUGGGAAGGGCCUCAGAUCCCCGGACCAGUCUGGGACACAGGCAAGAUCCCCCUGCAUUUAUAAAUGAGGCCUUCUUGUGGCUUCCUACCCGUACCUGUUGGUGGGUUCCAAAGAAGGACUCUUGAAAUGCCUUUUGGGCUGUCCAUUGAAGCCUUGGGACCAAAUUGGGCCCCCCUGGAGGGACAGUGCUGUUGGUGCCCCCCGGGUUGGGGCACCCCGAGGACUCCAGCGCGCACCGAAAGGAUUAUUCGGGGAGAUCCACGGGGUGCCCAGCCCUGGGGAGUUCAAAGCAAGCUCCCUGCAAUGGAUUCAGGCAUUGCUGAGAGUAUCCCAGGUAUAGCUGUCCAUGCUAGAGAUGGAGCUCUCUAAUGGACUGUAAUUGGGUUCUAAAAGUGGUGCUCCAAGUGCAAAGGAAGUGUGGGAUUGGGAUUAAGAAACGAGCAGUGAUGGUACAAUUGGCUGUUUUCUCUUGAAUGUAAUGGUAAGUGCUGCAGGAGUGCAAGGUGUGUGUUCCAGUCCCCAGCAUUUGGUUUGCACAUGUCCUGGUCAGACACAGGUCCAACUUCCUCAGUCCUUAACCCAAUCGAGGGAGAAUUAAGGACUGGCAGUGUUAAGGUGAUUGGUGUGACAGGGGUUAAAGUGGGAAAAACAAACUGGGUAAUUCCUCAGUUUCCCUCUUUGCCAAACUCAGCCAAACCUGUGCUCGGAAGAGAUGGACUGGAGUCUCUGAUCUCCUGAGUAGUUCUUCUGCAUGAUCUGGGAGCCUCUGGGAUUAGACUGGACUGGGCAGACAGGGAGCAGUUUGUCCUGUGGAGUUGGGCUGAGUUUGUUCAGGAUGCCUUGGGAGGCAGGGCUGGAGAGGCUCCUCUGUUGGCUGUAGUGGUGGAAGGUUGUAGCAGGAGGGAUGGAGCCUUCGACCUCCUGCUCCCCCCGUGAGCCCCGACGAGACCGUGCCCUUGGCAAUGGAGGGCCCCCCAUUGCUGAGCCAGCGGUUCCGGGGGCCAGGAGGGAUGAGAUCAGGAUGCCGAACUCCGCCCAGGGCCAGGGCUGCCAAUGUAACCAUGGAGGGAACUGAAAGCAGAGUGAGAUGGAGGCCAAGCUCCAGCACAAGGAUGGGUGAGGAAAGACCGUGGUCCUCAGGUGGAGCUUUGAAUUCCCUGGAAAAAUGGAUCCUGUCAGAUGGUUCAGGCCCUCGUGGGUGCUGGAGCAGAGGCCUCUUUAAUUUAUGGUCACCCUAAAAGGUUGCAAGGGCAGCAAGUUUUGACUGCAGGAUGAGGUGGGAAACCAAGUGAAGUGGUCCAGAGAAAAGCUGAGCUUAAAAUUGGUCCUGUGCCAGAGCAGCCUUGUGCAGGUGCUUGUUGCUGUCCCUGGGUGUCCCAUUGCAGUGGAUAUUUCCAAGGGCUGCCUUGUGCUGGGGAACACUGAGGGCAGUUCCCUUUCCCUGGGCAUGUUUCCCCCCCUCAAGGGUGGCUCCACAGUCCCACCCUCUGCCCUGGGAGUGUGGCAGAACACCUGGAGCCACUGUCCUUGUCAGAGAGGGGACAAGGGAUGGUUGGAUGGGUGAGGGAAUGGUUCAGGGAGUACAAGCACCAUUAGAGUGAGUAGUGCAGCACGUGGAAAGAAAGGGGGGGAGUUAAUCCAGACAGAAUUCAAGCUCAUGGAGCAAUUCAACAGGCUCCGGACCUGUGGCCAAUACGAGCCAGAGAGGGGGAACUAAAGGUUCCUGCCAGUGCUAAUGAUGCCACUUGGAGCCUCUGGCAGAAGUAGGGUAGGAAGGAAGUGCCCUUAGGAUUUGGGAAUAGGAAGUUACUGGAACCC